UACGGAGGGGGCAAGCGUUAUUCGGAAUUAUUGGGCGUAAAGGGUGCGUAGGCGGCCUGACAAGUCUGAUGUGAAAUCCCUGGGCUCAACCCAGGGCCUGCAUCGGAAACUGUCGGGCUUGAGUAUGGGAGAGGUGAGUGGAAUUUCCGGUGUAGCGGUGAAAUGCGCAGAUAUCAGGAAGAACACCCGUGGCGAAGGCGGCUCUCUGGGACGGUACUGACGCUGAGACGCGAAAGCGUGGGGAGCGAACAGG
rnacentral:rRNA from 1 species